rnacentral:guide_RNA from 1 species
UAAAUCAUAUAAGUUGGAAGAUGGCAGAUUGUGUGAAUU